rnacentral:rRNA from 1 species
UACGUAGGGGGCAAGCGUUGUCCGGAUUUAUUGGGCGUAAAGAGCGUGUAGGCGGCCUGUCAAGUCUGAUGUGAAAUCUUGCGGCUUAACCGCAAGCCUGCAUUGGAAACUGACAGGCUAGAGUCUGGAUGAGGAAGGUGGAAUUCCUGGUGUAGCGGUGAAAUGCGCAGAUAUCAGGAGGAACACCGGUGGCGAAGGCGGCCUUCUGGGACAGUACUGACGCUGAGACGCGAAAGCGUGGGGAGCAAACAGG